rnacentral:rRNA from 1 species
UACGUAGGGUGCAGGCGUUAAUCGGAAUUACUGGGCGUAAAGCGUGCGCAGGCGGUCUACUAAGAGAGGUGUGAAAUCCCCAGGCUCAACCUGGGAAGUGCGCGCGAAACUGGCGGACUUGAGUGCCGGAGAGGGUGGCGGAAUUCCCGGUGUAGAGGUGAAAUUCGUAGAUAUCGGGAGGAACACCAGAGGCGAAGGCGGCCACCUGGACGAACACUGACGCUGAGACGCGAAAGCGUGGGGAGCAAACAGG